UCCCUGGUGGCUUAGAUGGUAAAGAAUCUGCCUGCAAUGCAGGAGACCCUGGUUUGAUCCCUGGAUCGGGAA
rnacentral:tRNA from 1 species